rnacentral:rRNA from 1 species
GACGAACGCUGGCGGCGUGCUUAACACAUGCAAGUCGAACGGAAAGGCCCUGCUUUUGUGGGGUGCUCGAGGGGCGAACGGGGGAGUAACACGUGAGUAACCUGCCCUUGACUUUGGGAUAACUUCAGGAAACUGGGGCUAAUACCGGAUAGGAUCUCCUGCUGCAUGGUGGGGGUUGGAAAGUUUCGGCGGUUGGGGAUGGACUCGCGGCUUAUCAGCUUGUUGGUGGGGUAGUGGCUUACCAAGGCUUUGGCGGGUAGCCGGCAGGAGAGGGUGACCGGCCACCUUGCGCCUGAGAUACGGCCCAGACUCCUACGGGAGGCAGCAGUGGGGAAUAUUGCCCAAUGGGCGGACGCCUGAUGAAGAAACGCCGCGUGCGGGAUGACGGCCUUCGGGUUGUAAACCGCUUUCGCCUGUGACGCAGCGUGAGUGACGGUAAUGGGUAAAGAAGCACCGGCUAACUACGUG